rnacentral:rRNA from 1 species
UACGUAGGGUGCGAGCGUUAAUCGGAAUUACUGGGCGUAAAGCGUGCGCAGGCGGCGGCCCAAGUCAGGUGUGAAAUCCCCGGGCUUAGCCUGGGAAUUGCGCUUGAAACUAGGUCGCUAGAGUGUGGCAGAGGGGGGGUGGAAUUCCACGUGUAGCAGUGAAAUGCGUAGAGAUGUGGAGGAAUACCGAUGGCGAAGGCAGCACUCUGGGCCGGGUACUGACGCUUGAGGAGCGAAAGCAUGGGGAGCGAACAGG